rnacentral:lncRNA from 1 species
GAAUUGAACUCAGGACCUCUAGAAGAGUAGUCAGUGCUCUUAACCACUGAGCCAUCUUUCCAGCCCAACUUGUUUCCUUUUAAUGUUUAUUUUCUGUAUGUUGAUCGCCUUUUAAAAAUAAGCUGCUAGGUCAGCUGGGCCUGGAGGCUCAGGUCUGUAAUCCUAGCUAUUCGGAAUGCUGAAGCAGAAGACGGUAAGAUCAGAGCUUUCUCAGGCAACUACCUAACAGGGCAAGGCUGAGAACAAAGCUCACUGGAAGAAUGCUUGCCGGAGUAUAGGUGAGGCUCUGCUUUUGGUCCUCAGUACUACAAAGGUGGGGUGGGACCAUAAGUUUGUAGGUUAAAGGUCAUUGUAUCAGACAAGUCCUUAAGUAUUUAACCCAGGCAUAGAUAGAAUUAAGUAAUUGUUGAGAUUUGGUUCAGUCAGCUACACAAUUAUGAUUGAAGUCUUCAAGUCACUAGUGCUAUUUGGUAGGGUGAGAUGGCCAGCUUAAAGCACUGCUUCAAAGCAUUUGUUGCUUGCUGAGGAAUUGGAUUUGUUUUUCUGCAAUAUUCGUAGGAGCUUAUCCCCAUAUCUAACUUCAGUUUUAGAGGAGUUGAUGCCCUCUUCUGGCCUAUGUGGGUACAUGAGGUCUUUUGUACGCGCAGUACACAUAUAUACAUACAUGCAGGCGAAGCAUCCAUAAACAUAAACUUUGCUUUUGUUUUGUUUUUUUUCUGUAUACCCUUGGCUGUCCUGGACUCCAGGAACUUUACUCUGUAGACCAGGCUGGCCUCAAACUCGCAGAGAUCCUCCUGCCUCUGCUUCUUGAGUGCUGGGGUCAAGGGUGUUUGCCACCAUCACCCCAUUUUUUUUAACUUUUCUUUUUUAAACUUUAGGAUUUAUUUAUGUGUAUAUGAGUGCCCUAUCUGAAUGUAUACCUGCAUGCCAGAAGAGGGCAUCAGAUCACAGUAUAUAUGGUUAUGAGCCAUCAUGUGGUUGCUGGGGAUUAAACUCAGGACUUGUAGAAGAGCAGACAGUGGUGUAACUGUUGAGCCAUCUUUCUAGCUCCCCCACCUCCCCUUUUAAAGACUCCUUUGUGUGUACACACACACACACACACACACACACACACAUACAACAAAUAUGGCUGUGUGUGUGUAUGUGUGUGUGAUCUUAUGUAGCCAACAAUGGCCUUGAGCUCAGUGUAGCCUAGGAUAACCUUGAACUUGUGAUUUUCCUGCUACAGGUAUGUACUACCAUGCAAUGCUUUAAGCUCUCUGGAGAGCAAACCCUGGGCCUUGUGCAUGCUAGGCGAGAACUUUCCCCACCGAGCUCAUGUUGCUGUCCCUGCGCGCUGGCAUCUGCCUGACAGGAUUUUACCUUGACAGGCAGAGCACAGAUUUAUUUCUUUGCCAUGUGGUACUUUUUCUCAGGAGAUCUGGUAGAUGAUCAAAAUAGGGGAUAAAGAAAAUAAAGGCAUUUUCUUUACAUCUAGCUUUUAGACAUUUCUGCUAAAGAAAUCUAUGUAUUUCUGUAUAUUUUUAAUUUAUAAAUUUUUCAUAUCAAAAAACCUGAGGAAUGGAAUGGAUCAGGUGGUGAUUAAACCAUCCAUCCCAUCCAUCUGGUCUCAGCCAUGAAUUAAUUUAUGUAUCUUUUAAAUGACAUCAUUCUGUAGUUGGCACACUCAGCAUCUUGACUACAUUUUGAUUAAUUUCUUCAGCUUUUUGAAGAUAAUUGGGUAAAUGUCUAUUUUCUAGGAAUAACCCCUCUCACUAGGCAGCACCUGACUUCAGUCAGGCAGCCCUGUUGCCUUAGGUUGAAGGGAGUCUGGGAGAUGGUGUUUGCUGGAACUGAAGUUAAUAUCUUCCUGAAGGACAGACAAGUGACCUUUGGCCUAGGGUCUCCACCCCCUAACCCCAUCCCUAUAUUGGGCAUUCUGGUAUUUCUUCCUCAGCCAAGGGCAGACAGCAAAGGAGCCCUCUUAGUAAGUGUCAGCUUGAUACAGUAGAGUUAUUUGAGAAGUGGGUCUUAGCUGAGGGUGGCAUUGUUUCCUGGGUAGGUGGUCCAGGGAUGUAUAAGAAAGCCAGUUAAGUAUGGAUUCAAGUAGAGCCAAAAAGCAGUUUAUAGUUCAGGCUCUUGUAGAAAUAUAAGCAGUGGCUUCCUUUGGUAAUGGUCUAUGACAUGGAAAACAAACCUUUUCUUCCCUAAACUUGCUUUGCUCAGAGAAUUUUAUCACAGCAAUAGAAAGGCAGCAAGGAUGUUAACCACACAGGUCUCCAUGGGCAGAGCACAGCAUGGGGAGGGUGGAUUUGGAGAGGUGAAGAAAAAGCAUCCGUGGUUAUAUUCUCCCUGACCAGUCCUGUACCUGGAGCACACCUCUCUACUUUGCCUACAAGAGAUACUAAAAAUCCUGGUGUCACAGUAUAUGCCUGUUAUAAACGUUUGCUGCAAUCCUUGAUAGCUUUGUGCUCCUAAGUUUGCCAGCAGCUGGUUAGGCACUAGAAUAGCUCCAGUUUCUAACAUUGCCCCAUAUGGCUUCACAUCAAGGCUUCAGUGACAUGCCUUAUGGUUAUUGCUGAUCACAUGUUAAUGUUUUUGAAGUCUAAAUUACUUUUUAAAAUAUUGUCAGAUUCAGUGCAAGGUAGGACUUUUGACCUUUUCCCACAUCUGUUAUCUGUUUGUCUGCCUGUCCACCUGCUCACCUUGUUUGUUUGUUUGUUUGUUUGUUUGUUUGUUUGUUUGUUUAGAAUGAUGGGGCAGAAGUUGAUCCCAGGGCCAGGACCAUAUAGCACAUACUAGAUAAACAUGAUCACAGAGCUCUAUAGUCCCAGCCCCUUUGUCUUUGUUUUGUUGGAAACAGGUUGUGGGUAAGUCACCUAGACAGGCCUCCCACUGGCAGAGAUCGUCCUGUCUGAGCCUCCAAAGUAGUUGGGAUUAACACUCAUCCCAUGUUCCUACAGAGCUUCAUGUUGAAAAGAUCCAGGCCUAUCAGAAAAGUUGAGUAUACACUUCUUAAUGGUGUUUGCAGUUUCCCCUUUGCUUGCUUGCUUGCUUGCUUGCUUUUUGCUUUAUUUCUGAGAAUAACUUCUAUUCUUGUCACCCAGGCUGACCUGAAGCUUUGGUGAACCUUCUAUCUUAGCCUUCAUCAUUUGUUUACUUUCUUCAUAGAUUUGUCACAGUGCUCUAAUUUGCCUGUUGUUCAAUUUGGAAGGAGAUUUAUUCAUGAUAUAGCAUACAUUUAUGGCAUAGAUUUGCUUUUUUAACUUUACUAUGUCAAAGAAAAUUAUCCAGGUACUUAUUAAAGGUGUGAAAGACUUUAAUUC